rnacentral:tRNA from 1 species
UCCCUGGUGGCUCAGACGGUAAAGCAUCUGCCUGCAAUGCAGGAGACGGGGGUUCGAUCCCCGGGUUGGGAA